UUAUAAAAUUUAAUUUUUAAAUUAAAAAGUUUAAAUAAUUUAAAAAGACGAGAAGACCCUAUAGAGUUUUAUAAAUAAAUUAAUUAAGGUUAUUAAGAUAUUUUUAAAAUUAAAAUUAAUUUAUUUAUUUUGUUGGGGUGAUAGAAAAAUAUAUUUAACUUUUUUAAAAAUAAAAACAUUUAUAAGUGAUUAGAUGAUCCAUUAUUAUUGAUUAUAAGAAAAAAUUACCUUAGGGAUAACAGCGUAAUUUUUUUUUUUAGUUCAUAUAAUAAAAAGAGUUUGCGACCUCGAUGUUGGAUUAAGAUAAAAUUUAAAUGCAGAAG
rnacentral:rRNA from 1 species